rnacentral:rRNA from 1 species
AGAGCGAACGCUGGCGGCAGGCCUAACACAUGCAAGUCGAGCGCCCGUAGCAAUACGGGAGCGGCAGACGGGAUAGUAACACGUGGGAACGCGCCCUUCGGUUCGGAAUAACUCAGGGAAACUUGAGCUAAUACCGGAUACGCCCUUACGGGGAAAAUUUAUUGCCGAAGGAACGGCCCGCGUCCGAUUAGCUAGUUGGUGAGGUAAUGGCUCACCAAGGCUCCGAUCGGUAGCUGGUCUGAGAGGAUGACCAGCAUCACUGGGACUGAGACACGGCCCAGACUCCUACGGGAGGCAGCAGUGGGGAAUAUUGGACAAUGGGCGCAAGCCUGAUCCAGCCAUGCCGCGUGGAUGAUGAAGGCCUUAGGGUUGUAAAGUCCUUUUAACGGGGAAGAUAAUGACGGUACCGUAGAAUAAGCCCGGCUAACUUCGUGCCAGCAGCCGC